AGAUUGAACGCUGGCGGCAGGCCUAACACAUGCAAGUCGAGCGGCAGCACGGGUACUUGUACCUGGUGGCGAGCGGCGGACGGGUGAGUAAUGCCUAGGAAUCUGCCUGGUAGUGGGGGAUAACGCUCGGAAACGGACGCUAAUACCGCAUACGUCCUACGGGAGAAAGCAGGGGACCUUCGGGCCUUGCGCUAUCAGAUGAGCCUAGGUCGGAUUAGCUAGUUGGUGAGGUAACGGCUCACCAAGGCGACGAUCCGUAACUGGUCUGAGAGGAUGAUCAGUCACACUGGAACUGAGACACGGUCCAGACU
rnacentral:rRNA from 1 species